GUCGCUACUACCGAUUGAACGUUUUAGUGAGGUAUUUGGAUUGGACCUGUGGAGGUUAACGCUUCUACUGUGUCCGAGAAGACUCCCAAACUUGAGCGUUUAGAGGAAGUAA
rnacentral:rRNA from 1 species